UACGUAGGGUGCAAGCGUUAAUCGGAAUUACUGGGCGUAAAGCGUGCGUAGGCGGCUAUGUAAGACAGAUGUGAAAUCCCUGGGCUUAACCUGGGAACUGCAUUUGUGACUGCAUUGCUAGAGUGUGGUAGAGGGAGAUGGAAUUCCGCAUGUAGCAGUGAAAUGCGUAGAUAUGCGGAGGAACACCAAUGGCGAAGGCAAUCUCCUGGACCUGCACUGACGCUCAUGCACGAAAGCGUGGGGAGCAAAAGGG
rnacentral:rRNA from 1 species